rnacentral:rRNA from 1 species
GAUGAACGCUGGCGGCGUGCCUAAUACAUGCAAGUCGAGCGAACAGACGAGGAGCUUGCUCCUCUGACGUUAGCGGCGGACGGGUGAGUAACACGUGGAUAACCUACCUAUAAGACUGGGAUAACUUCGGGAAGCCGGAGCUAAUACCGGAUAAUAUAUUGAACCGCAUGGUUCAAUAGUGAAAGACGGUUUUGCUGUCACUUAUAGAUGGAUCCGCGCCGCAUUAGCUAGUUGGUAAGGUAACGGCUUACCAAGGCAACGAUGCGUAGCCGACCUGAGAGGGUGAUCGGCCACACUGGAACUGAGACACGGUCCAGACUCCUACGGGAGGCAGCAGUAGGGAAUCUUCCGCAAUGGGCGAAAGCCUGACGGAGCAACGCCGCGUGAGUGAUGAAGGUCUUCGGAUCGUAAAACCCUGUUAUUAGGGAAGAACAAAUGUGUAAGUAACUAUGCACGUCUUGACGGUACCUAAUCAGAAAGCCACGGCUAACUACGUG